rnacentral:rRNA from 1 species
UACGGAGGGUGCAAGCGUUAUCCGGAUUUACUGGGUUUAAAGGGUGUGUAGGCGGACUAUUAAGUCAGUGGUGAAAUCUCCGGGCUCAACCCGGAAACUGCCAUUGAUACUAUUAGUCUUGAAUAUCGUUGAGGUGGGCAGAAUAUGUCAUGUAGCGGUGAAAUGCAUAGAUAUGACAUAGAAUACCGAUUGCGAAGGCAGCUUGCUAAACGAUGAUUGACGCUGAGGCACGAAAGCGUGGGGAUCAAACAGG